CCUACGGGUGGCAGCAGUGGGGAAUAUUGGGCAAUGGGCGCAAGCCUGACCCAGCAACGCCGCGUGAAGGAAGAAGGCUUUCGGGUUGUAAACUUCUUUUAAGAGGGAAGAGCAGAAGACGGUACCUCUUGAAUAAGCCACGGCUAACUACGUGCCAGCAGCCGCGGUAAUACGUAGGUGGCAAGCGUUGUCCGGAUUGACUGGGUGUAAAGGGCGUGUAGCCGGGCUGACAAGUCAGAUGUGAAAUCCGGGGGCUCAACCCGCGAACUGCAGUGGAAACUGGUGGUCUUGAGUAUCCGAGAGGCAGGCGGAAUUCGUCGUGUAGCGGUGAAAUGCGUAGAUAUGAGGAGGAACCCCAAUGGCGAAGGCAGCCUGCUGGACGAGAACUGACGGUGAGGCGCGAAAGCGUGGGGAGCAAACAGGAUUAGAUACCCCGGUAGUC
rnacentral:rRNA from 1 species